rnacentral:rRNA from 1 species
AGAGAAUAGAUACCCCGGUAGUCCACGCCCUAAACGAUGUCAACGGGUUGUUGGACGGCUUGCUGUUCAGUAAACGAAAGCUAAACGCGUGAAGUUGACCGCCUGGGGAGUACGGCCGCAAGGUUGAGACUCAAAGGAAUUGACGGGGACCCGCACAAGCGGUGGAUGAUGUGGUUUAAUUCGAUGCAACGCGAAAAACCUUACCUACCCUUGACAUGUCAAGAAUCUUGCAGAGAUGUGAGAGUGCUCGAAAAGAGAACUUGAACACAGGUGCUGCAUGGCCGUCGUCAGCUCGUGUCGUGAGAUGUUGGGUUAAGUUCCGCAACGAGCGCAACCCUUGUCAUUAGUUGCUACGAAAGGGCACUCUAAUGAGACUGCCGGUGACAAACCGGAGGAAGGUGGGGAUGACGUCAGGUCCUCAUGGCCCUUAUGGGUAGGGCUACACACGUCAUACAAUGGCCGGGACAGAGGGCUGCCAACCCGCGAGGGGAGCCAAUCCCAGAAACCCGGUCGUAGCCCGGA